GAGCGAACGCUGGCGGCAGGCUUAACACAUGCAAGUCGAGCGGGCACUUUCGGGUGUCAGCGGCGGACGGGUGAGUAACGCGUGGGAACGUGCCCUCUGGUUCGGAAUAACUCAGGGAAACUUGAGCUAAUACCGGAUACGCCCUUUUGGGGAAAGGCUUGCUGCCGGAGGAUCGGCCCGCGUCUGAUUAGCUAGUUGGUGAGGUAACGGCUCACCAAGGCGACGAUCAGUAGCUGGUCUGAGAGGAUGAUCAGCCACACUGGGACUGAGACACGGCCCAGACUCCUACGGGAGGCAGCAGUGGGGAAUAUUGGACAAUGGGCGCAAGCCUGAUCCAGCCAUGCCGCGUGAGUGAUCAAGGCCUUAGGGUUGUAAAGCUCUUUUAUCCGGGACGAUAAUGACGGUACCGGAGGAAUAAGCCCCGGCUAACUUCGUG
rnacentral:rRNA from 1 species